rnacentral:rRNA from 1 species
CGCGUAGGUGGCCAAUUAAGUCAAAUGUGAAAUCCCCGAGCUUAACUUGGGAAUUGCAUUCGAUACUGGUUGGCUAGAGUAUGGGAGAGGAUGGUAGAAUUCCAGGUGUAGCGGUGAAAUGCGUAGAGAUCUGGAGGAAUACCGAUGGCGAAGGCAGCCACCUGGCCUAAUACUGACACUGAGGUGCGAAAGCAUGGGGAGCAAACA